ACGGAGGGUGCAAGCGUUAAUCGGAAUUACUGGGCGUAAAGCGCGCGUAGGCGGUUGGUUAAGUUGGAUGUGAAAGCCCUGGGCUCAACCUAGGAACUGCAUACAAAACUGGCCAACUAGAGUACAGCAGAGGCAAGUGGAAUUUCCAGUGUAGCGGUGAAAUGCGUAGAGAUUGGAAGGAACACCAGUGGCGAAGGCGACUUGCUGGGCUGAUACUGACGCUGAGGUGCGAAAGCGUGGGGAGCAAACAGG
rnacentral:rRNA from 1 species